AUGGGCUUAGGACUGAGAUUGCCCUUCUGUCUACUCCUCUUGCUGCUCGUCAGCCUCGGAAGCGCACAAGGCCGGAGCACUGUUUUUCUUGAUAUCCAGGAGGAGGCUCGAGGCCCUGGUCAAAUCAUCAACGAUCAACUAACUUUGAGCAAAAUUCCCGUGCGUGUUGAGAGGGGCAGCCCACUAUGCCCAGCUUGUGAGAAGUUUACAGAUGAAGCUCUUAGCUAUCUUAGUCAGAAACAAUCACAAGAUAAGAUGAUGGAGGUCCUUCAUGAAGCUUGUUCUCAGACAUUCUCUUUGGAAAAGAAGUGUGUUGAGUUUGUGGACUCCUAUGCAACUCUCUUAUUUGCCAAGAUCGCUGAGAUCAAGCCAGAAGAGUUCUGCAAACGAAAUGGCCUCUGCAGGGACAAUGCUCUUCUGUCUGGUGUGAGAAGUGAGAGCACAUGUGUGUUUUGCCACCACCUCAUGGAUGAAGUUUUGUCCAAACUGAAGGAUCCUGAUGCUGAGUUUGAGAUAAUUCAAAUUCUCCUCAAGGAGUGCAAGAAGAUCGAAGGUCAUGAACAGCAACACGCAAAGGAUGCACAGGCUGAUAAUUUUCUUGUUCGACAGUGCAAACGAUUGGUCCUGCAAUACAUCCCUCUCAUCCUGGUGAACGGAGAGAAGUUCCUCGAGAAGAACGAUAUAUGUACCAUCGUCCAAGCGUGCGAUGCUGGCAAAAAGACGAUGGUCGGGCCAUUCUCCGAGGAGGGUUUGUUGCGCGAUGCAUAA
rnacentral:rRNA from 1 species